rnacentral:rRNA from 1 species
GACGAACGCUGGCGGCGUGCUUAACACAUGCAAGUCGAACGGAAAGGCCCUGCUUGCAGGGUACUCGAGUGGCGAACGGGUGAGUAACACGUGGGUGAUCUGCCCUGCACUUCGGGAUAAGCCUGGUAAACUGGGUCUAAUACCGGAUAGGAGCCAUUUUUAGUGUGAUGGUUGGAAAGUUUUUUCGGUGUAGGAUGAGCUCGCGGCCUAUCAGCUUGUUGGUGGGGUAAUGGCCUACCAAGGCGGCGACGGGUAGCCGGCCUGAGAGGGUGGACGGCCACAUUGGGACUGGGAUACGGCCCAGACUCCUACGGGAGGCAGCAGUGGGGAAUAUUGCACAAUGGGCGCAAGCCUGAUGCAGCGACGCCGCGUGGGGGAUGACGGCCUUCGGGUUGUAAACUCCUUUCGCUAGGGACGAAGCUUUUUGUGACGGUACCUAGAUAAGAAGCACCGGCUAACUACGUG